rnacentral:rRNA from 1 species
GACUCCUACGGGAGGCAGCAGUGGGGAAUAUUGCACAAUGGGCGAAAGCCUGAUGCAGCGACGCCGCGUGAGGGAUGACGGCCUUCGGGUUGUAAACCUCUUUCAGCAGGGAAGAAGCGAAAGUGACGGUACCUGCAGAAGAAGCGCCGGCUAACUACGUGCCAGCAGCCGCGGUAAUACGUAGGGCGCAAGCGUUGUCCGGAAUUAUUGGGCGUAAAGAGCUCGUAGGCGGCUUGUCACGUCGGUUGUGAAAGCCCGGGGCUUAACCCCGGGUCUGCAGUCGAUACGGGCAGGCUAGAGUUCGGUAGGGGAGAUCGGAAUUCCUGGUGUAGCGGUGAAAUGCGCAGAUAUCAGGAGGAACACCGGUGGCGAAGGCGGAUCUCUGGGCCGAUACU